GACGAACGCUGGCGGCGUGCCUAAUACAUGCAAGUUGAGCGAUGAAGCUUGGUGCUUGCACCAAUUUGAAGAGCAGCGAACGGGUGAGUAACGCGUGGGGAAUCUGCCUUUGAGCGGGGGACAACAUUUGGAAACGAAUGCUAAUACCGCAUAAUAACUUUAAACAUAAGUUUUAAGUUUGAAAGAUGCAAUUGCAUCACUCAAAGAUGAUCCCGCGUUGUAUUAGCUAGUUGGUGAGGUAAAGGCUCACCAAGGCGAUGAUACAUAGCCGACCUGAGAGGGUGAUCGGCCACAGUGGGACUGAGACACGGCCCAAACUCCUACGGGAGGCAGCAGUAGGGGAUCUUCGGCAAUGGACGAAAGGCUGACCGGGCAACGCCGCGUGAGUGAAGAAGGUUGUCGGGUCGGAAAACUCUGUUGGUAGAGAAGAACGUUGGUGGGAGUGGAAAGCUCAUCAAGUGACGGUAACUACCCAGAAAGGGACGGCUAACUACGUG
rnacentral:rRNA from 1 species